CUUCAGCUUUCCCAGGCUUUCUGAAAGCAACAAGUUCUCUAGUGUCACCAGGGUGGGCAAGUCACAGGGACAGGUGACCCCCCCAUGGCCACCUACCACUGGACAUGUAAUCACAGAGGAAUGCUCAGCUCUGGCUUCUAGUGGUGUCUUUGAUCAAACUUGGGACCUUGGAGCCCCUGACAGGAGAGGCAUUUUGCAGAACCACUAAGCUGUCUUUUCAGUUUUCCCAGGCUUUCUGAAAGCAACAAGUUCUCUAGUGUCACC